UUAACCUAGGGAUUCACGCAGAGGCAUCACUGGAAGAAAAUAGGAAUACGGCUGUGACUAGAAGAGAAAAGAAUUCCUCCAUAGGAGUCUUAUUUCAAAAGGUGCUAUCAAAUGUAUAAUUUAAUUAUUAUGUCAAUUAUUAUGAGUAACUAAUCUCAUCAGAUUAAGAAUUAUAGAUGAUUCUCUUUGAAACUAUCUGAGCCAUGUAACUACGUGUUCUAGUUUAUUCAAUGAAAACUUAUAAUUAUUC
rnacentral:lncRNA from 1 species